ensembl:snRNA
GUAUUAUAUGAAAGUAGAGAAGGUUAGCACUUCCCUUGACAAGGAUGGAAGAGGCCCUGCAGCUGACAACUUGCGUAUGGUUGAGGCAUUGUCACCUGCUUUCUGGCAUCUAACCUUUGUUUUUU